GGCCACCACACCCUUGCCUACCUAACACAGUGCGUGGCGGCGGCGGCGCUGGUGGGGCGGCAGCGCUAGUAGCAGUGGUAGCUGCGGCUGCGGCGACAAAUGGCAACAAAGAGACAUGCGGCUAGCAACGAGCCAAGUAUAAUCUAUCCUUGUAAUGGUAAUCAGGAUAGACAACGUCGCAUGCAGCGCAUGGCCGGAUCGAUCGGCGACGUUGUGAUGUGGUGUCCAUGUUGCGCAAUAGGCGGCCGGCGGCGGAUCGAUCGGCGACGUAAUCGCCAAGCGCAUGCUAUUGACGGCCGUGCAUUGGAUUCUUCUAAUGUACUGCAUUCACCAGGAUCGAACAUGAUUUUUCAUUAGUAAAUUAGUUGCGCUCGUGUGCUCAAUGUAUCUUUGGAUAUGGCAGAAAUACAUUCCAUCUUUGGUCUGGCCCUGCAUAUCUGCAUGGACAUAUAAAGUUGGAAGCAAAGUGCCGAUGCAGGCUCAAUUAAUUUGCUGCUUUGUACAA